rnacentral:rRNA from 1 species
GUUCAACGGCCGCGGUAUCCUAACCGUGCGAAGGUAGCGUAAUCACUUGUUCUUUAAAUAAGGACUAGUAUGAAUGGCAUCACGAGGGUUAUACUGUCUCCUUUUUCUAAUCAGUAAAACUAUUCUCCCCGUGAAGAAACGGGGAUGUUUAUAUAAGACGAGAAGACCCUAUGGAGCUUUAAAUUUUUAUUACAAUUGCUCUUUUUUUUAAUUUGUCCCGACUUCUUACUUUUAAUUGAACAUACUGAUAGUAAAUUUUAGGUUGGGGUGACCGCGGAGCAUAAAAGAACCUCCGCAUAGAACAGACUCUAAGCCUUGAGCCAAGAACCACAAUUUUAAGCACUAAUAUAUUAACAUUCAUUGACCCAAUAUUUUUGAUCAACGAACCAAGUUACCCUAGGGAUAACAGCGCAAUCUACUUUGAGAGCUCCUAUCGACAAGUAGGUUUACGACCUCGAUGUUGGAUCAGGGUAUCCCAGUGGUGCAGCCGCUACUAAAGGUUCGUUUGUUCAACGAUUAAAACCC